CAUUACUCCAGCGAGAUGCCUCUUGGACAUCACAGAUGCUCUUUCAUAGAAAGAGAGCCUGCUUUGCUUGCUUGCUCGUCCGUACCUCCAUUCCCAGCUCUAUAUCUAGGCUUUUUGGAGCUUAACUAAGAGCCAUGCCGCUCUCCAUUUCGAUUAUGCAUUUUAUAAAGAUCUUGUGAGCUUACCAUUGCAAAUCAAGGUGGUAACCCUCCAGUGUGCUUUGCUGGUUGUAUGUAAGUUAAAUAACAGAUGUGGAACAAUCUAUCACCACACACGUUGCAAGAAGCUACUGGGUUGUCCUCAUGUCAGAAGAUUCCAGUGUGCACCUAGCUUAGUGUUCGUGGUUAAUUCAUCCUCCGUAUCCAGCAGAGCUAUUUCACUGCUCAAUUUAUCCACCUUUAU